GACGAACGCUGGCGGCGUGCCUAACACAUACAAGUCGAGCGAUGAAGUUCUUCGGAACGGAUUAGCGGCGGACGGGUGAGUAACACGUGGGUAACCUGCCUUGCAGAGGGGGAUAGCCUUCCGAAAGGAAGAUUAAUACUGCAUCACAUCUUUUUAUAGCAUGGUAGAAAGAUCAAAGGAGUAAGCCGCGACAAUAGGGACCCGCGGGGCAUUGGCUAGUUGGUGAGGUAACGGCUCACCAAGGCGACGAGGCGUAGCCGACCGGAGAGGGUGAUCGGCCACAUUGGAACUGAGACACGGUCCAGACUCCUACGGGAGGCAGCAGUGGGGAAUAUUGCGCAAUGGGGGAAACCCUGACGCAGCAACGCCGCGUGAAUGAAGAAGGCCUUAGGGUUGUAAAGUUCUGUUUACGGGGACGAUAAUGACGGUACCCGUGGAGGAAGCCACGGCUAACUACGUGCCAGCCGCCGCAGUAA
rnacentral:rRNA from 1 species